rnacentral:rRNA from 1 species
UACGUAGGGGGCAAGCGUUGUCCGGAUUUAUUGGGCGUAAAGAGCGUGUAGGCGGCCUGGAGGGUCAGCUGUGAAAACUCGAGGCUCAACCUCGAGACGUCGGUUGAAACCACCUGGCUAGAGUCCGGAAGAGGAGUGUGGAAUUCCCGGUGUAGCGGUGGAAUGCGUAGAUAUCGGGAGGAACACCUGUGGCGAAAGCGGCGCACUGGACCACAACUGACGCUGAGGCGCGAAAGCUAGGGGAGCAAACAGG